rnacentral:rRNA from 1 species
AGAACCUUACCAGGUCUUGACAUCUUCUGCCAGGCUGAGAGAUCAGCUGUUCCCUUCGGGGACAGAAUGACAGGUGGUGCAUGGUUGUCGUCAGCUCGUGUCGUGAGAUGUUGGGUUAAGUCCCGCAACGAGCGCAACCCUUAUGAUCAGUUGCCAGCAUUCAGUUGGGCACUCUGGUCAGACUGCCGGUGACAAACCGGAGGAAGGCGGGGAUGACGUCAAAUCAUCAUGCCCCUUAUGACCUGGGCUACACACGUGCUACAAUGGGUGGUACAACGAGCAGCGAGACCGCGAGGUCAAGCGAAUCUCUAAAAACCAUCCUCAGUUCGGAUUGCAGGCUGCAACUCGCCUGCAUGAAGCUGGAAUCGCUAGUAAUCGCGGAUCAGCACGCCGCGGUGAAUACGUUCCCGGGUCUUGUACACACCGCCU